CCUACGGGGGGCUGCAGUGAGGAAUAUUGGUCAAUGGACGAGAGUCUGAACCAGCCAAGUAGCGUGAAGGAUGACUGCCCUAUGGGUUGUAAACUUCUUUUAUAUGGGAAUAAAAUGUUCCACGUGUGGGAUUUUGUAUGUACCAUAUGAAUAAGGAUCGGCUAACUCCGUGCCAGCAGCCGCGGUAAUACGGAGGAUCCGAGCGUUAUCCGGAUUUAUUGGGUUUAAAGGGAGCGUAGGUGGAUUGUUAAGUCAGUUGUGAAAGUUUGCGGCUCAACCGUAAAAGUGCAGUUGAAACUGGCAGUCUUGAGUACAGGAGAGGUGGGCGGAAUUCGUGGUGUAGCGGUGAAAUGCUUAGAUAUCACGAAGAACUCCGAUUGCGAAGGCAGUUCACUGGACUGCAACUGACACUGAGGCUCGAAAGUGUGGGUAUCAAACAGGAUUAGAUACCCGUGUAGUC
rnacentral:rRNA from 1 species